rnacentral:rRNA from 1 species
AGGGUUUGAUCAUGGCUCAGAUUGAACGCUGGCGGCAUGCCUUACACAUGCAAGUCGAACGGCAGCACGGGUGCUUGCACCUGGUGGCGAGUGGCGAACGGGUGAGUAAUACAUCGGAACAUGUCCUGUAGUGGGGGAUAGCCCGGCGAAAGCCGGAUUAAUACCGCAUACGAUCCACGGAUGAAAGCGGGGGACCUUCGGGCCUCGCGCUAUAGGGUUGGCCGAUGGCUGAUUAGCUAGUUGGUGGGGUAAAGGCCUACCAAGGCGACGAUCAGUAGCUGGUCUGAGAGGACGAUCAGCCACACUGGGACUGAGACACGGCCCAGACUCCUACGGGAGGCAGCAGUGGGGAAUUUUGGACAAUGGGGGCAACCCUGAUCCAGCAAUGCCGCGUGUGUGAAGAAGGCCUUCGGGUUGUAAAGCACUUUUGUCCGGAAAGAAAUCGCACUUACUAAUAUUAGGUGUGGAUGACGGUACCGGAAGAAUAAGGACCGGCUAACUACGUGCCAGCAGCCGCGGUAAUACG